CGUAAAGCUCUGUUGUUAGGGAAGAACAAGUACCGUUCGAAUAGGGCGGUACCUUGACGGUACCUAACCAGAAAGCCACGGCUAACUACGUGCCAGCAGCCGCGGUAAUACGUAGGUGGCAAGCGUUGUCCGGAAUUAUUGGGCGUAAAGGGCUCGCAGGCGGUUUCUUAAGUCUGAUGUGAAAGCCCCCGGCUCAACCGGGGAGGGUCAUUGGAAACUGGGGAACUUGAGUGCAGAAGAGGAGAGUGGAAUUCCACGUGUAGCGGUGAAAUGCGUAGAGAUGUGGAGGAACACCAGUGGCGAAGGCGACUCUCUGGUCUGUAACUGACGCUGAGGAGCGAAAGCGUGGGGAGCGAACAGGAUUAGAUACCCUGGUAGUCCACGCCGUAAACGAUGAGUGCUAAGUGUUAGGGGGUUUCCGCCCCUUAGUGCUGCAGCUAACGCAUUAAGCACUCCGCCUGGGGAGUACGGUCGCAAGACUGAAACUCAAAGGAAUU
rnacentral:rRNA from 1 species